rnacentral:lncRNA from 1 species
GGGUUUAAUCAGUCCGCGGGUAUUUAGUGGUCCCUUACUGCCUCGUCUCUAUCUGGACUCCUCUGGACCCAUGUCAGCUUUUCCUUGACCCUGGGGCACUGAAAAGCCACCUCACUUUCCUCUUCUGCCAUCUCUAGUUAAUAAUGAGCCAUGUCAGACACACAGCUGAUGGCACACUCAUUAGCUAAUAGAAACAGCAGGUGAUUUUUUUUAAAAAAAUUAUUUUUUAUUAAAGUAGCGUUGAUUUACAGUGUUGUGCCAGUUUCUGCUGUUCAGCAGAAUGACCCAGUCAUACAUAUAUACACACACACAUAUACGCAUUCUUUUUGCCAUAUUAUCUUCCAUCAUAUUCUAUCCCAAGAGACUGGCUCUAGAUCCCCGUACUGUACAGCAGGACCUCAUUGCUUCUCCGUCAGAAAUGUAAUAGUUUGCAUCUACCAACCUCACGCUCCCAGUCCAUCCCACUCCCUCCUCCUCUGUCUUGGCAACCACAAGUCUGUUCUCUGUGUCUGGGACUCAGAAGAAGUGAUUUUAAGUAGGUGUUGAGAAGGGGUGGUAGUUGAGAGGCUAAAGAGCAGUGGCCUAGGACUUGCCCUAAGAACCUGAGGACGGCCUGGAUUCGGACGCGCCAGGUAGCGCCUCCGGUCUGUUGGGGUGCUCCGUGUUUUACAGGCCGGUCGCACGUAGCCUUAUGUAGAAUGUUCUCUAUCAACCAGGAGAAACCAGGAGCUGGGGACUUUCAAGGCUCAAGCUCUGUCAGAAAGGGAGAGAGUAGCUGCCUGAUGGGCAGAGGUCCUUUUUGUCAAACACACAGCUUCUCAUCCCCUGUCAGCUGUAUCUGGCCGUAUUGUCCUCACAUUUGGCACAACAUUUUAAUAUUUAUCAGUGUUCCCCCUGCUUCCUGAUGCACUUGUCCUGCACAAGAAUUGAUUUUUAAGAAAUAUGUGGGUUUUUUUUGUUUUUUUUUUUUUCACACGCUUGGGUUGGCAAAAUACGUAUUUGUAGAGAAAUAAUCUUGAGUGAGCUUUUCUUGCAUGUGUGUCCACUUGAUAAAUGUCCUGCCUGCGAAGAUGUGUUUUGGGGUCUGGGUUUCCUCCUCAGUGUAUCCCUUCUUUCAUUGGUCAGGUCUGGGUCCCCACGCCCUGCCUUUUGUUUGGGAGCAGUUUAUCUGCCCACUUUGUGGUUCUGUGUCUUGAAGCAUCUCACAGGAUUUUAGUUUUUUCUGUCUCGAUUUCAGAAUAAAAUCGUCCCUUCGUGGUUGUUGAAAGGCCCCUUCUGGUGAAGGGGAAACGUGGGCACUCGACGCACUUGACCUCCCGCCUCUGCUCCCAGGCCCACCACAGUCCACACUUUGUCUUUGAAGGUGCCGGGUCUUAGUGGUUGGGGGGGGGGGCAGGUAGAGCACAGAAGCCAGAUGGUUUUAACUCACACCUGGGAAAGUGCCAGGGCGCUGAAAAAAACAUUGCAGUGAAUGGCGAGCAUCGGGCUGCCAAGCUCAGUGGGGUGCCACUUUGACAGGCCUGCCAUUCCGGGUAACCGAACAUUCCAGUUAACUGAGAGCCAGACCGGCCCUUCCCCCACCCCAGUUCCUCCGUGUGUGAAGCCCCUGGGAAACCCGCUUCCCCGUCUCCCAGCCUCCUCCCAUCACCUCCCCUCCCCUUCUCUGUGUCUCCUCGCCUGAUGGCUCUUUCUCUCCACCAGGGCUGUGCUUGUAUUUUUUCAGCUUCAUUUUCAGCUUCUGCACACACAUUCCUGUUUCCUCCUGUGUGGUGUCCUCAGGCAUGGCAUUUAUUGGCCAGUGGGUCACAUUCAGUCAUUCGCUGUCCUGCUGGAACCGUGCGCUGUCUGGUCUCCCAGCCAGGUAGACAUGGGUUUGCCCUUGAGCCCGCCUGGGCCUCUCUCAAUGCCUCCUGCUCCUGGAGGUCCAAGGUCACUGGUGUACUGCUGGAAGGAGAGUUUCUGUGGCCUGGGCGUCAGCAGCUGAAGUUGAACUGUUCAUUUGAAGCGCAGCUGUAUUGUAUUUCCUAAUACCUGGGCAGCAGGUAGCUCCAGGAAAACCCUGGAAAAACAGGAUGAGAGCUUCUAUCUUUGUGUCCUCCACUUUCCUCUCCCCCUCCUCACAUUCAUAAAUGAAGGAACACUUCUUUCUUUCGCAUUGAACCCCUGUGGUUUCUUCUUCUGUUUGGCGGACAAGUCCUCAGGUGAGCCAGUGAUUUCCCGCCUCCUGGUGUCCGCGUCCUGGUGUGACUCACCCCCCUUGAGUGUGGGCAGAACCUGUGAAUUUCUUAGGUGGAAAUGAUGGUGGGGUGUCACUUCCUCGAUUAGGCUCCACAAUGUGGCAAAGUGAAGGGACGCUGAAGAUAUCACUUAGGCCCCAAAUUAGUUGAUUUAAAGUGGAUUAGAAAGGAAAGCAUCCUGGGUGGGCCUCACUUCAGAGAAGCCGUUAAAAGCACGACUCAGGGAGUUCCCGUCAUGGCUCAGCGGAAACGCAUCUAACUAGCAUCCAUGAGGACGAAGGUGCAAUCCCUGGCUUCGAUCCCCAGGCCACAGCAUUGCCGUGAGCUGUGCUGUAUGUCACAGAUGUGGCUCGGAUCCCGCGUUGCUGUGGCUGUGUUGUAGGCGGGCGGCUCUAGCUCCAGUUCAACCCCUAGCCUGGGAACCUCCAUAUGCCAUGGGUGUAGCCCUAAAAAGACAAAAAGAAAGAUCAAGACUCAAGUGAAGAGACUGUCCACUGAUGGCUUUGAAGAAUGAGUUGCCAGGCAGCCAGAGGGUCUAUGGAGAGGCCAGGCAGCAAGGAACAUGGGCAGCUUCUAGGAGCUGAGAGUGGCCCAAAGUAGCCAACAAAAUGUGGCCAUUUCCUACAGCCUUAAGGAAAUGAAUUCUUCCAACACUCUGAGGGUGCUUGAAGAUGCUUAAACUUCCCCAGCCGAGUCUCUGAUGAGACCACAGCCCAACCAAUACCCGGAUUUCGUCCUGUUAAGAGCUUUAUAUUGGGAGCCCAGCUAAGCAAACUGUGCCCACACUGCUGACCCAUGGAAACUAAGACAGAAAAUGUGUGUUGUCAGUAGUUCCUGUUGUGGCUCAGUGGGUUAAGCAUCCGGCAUUGUGACCACUUAUGGUGUAGGUUGUAGAUGUGGCUUGGAUCCUGUGUUGCUGUGGCUGUGGUGUAGGCUGGCAGCUGCAGCUCCCAUUCGACCUCUAGCCUGUGAACCUCCAUCUGCCGCAAGAGCAGCUCUAAAAAGC